UCGAGGAUCUUCCGCAAUGGGCGAAAGCCUGACGGAGCGACACCGCGUGCAGGAUGAAGGCCUUCGGGUUGUAAACUGCUGUCACGCACUAGGAAUCCCCUGCGGUGAAUAGCCGCAGGGUUGACUAAAGCGAGAGGAAGCACCGGCUAACUCUGUGCCAGCAGCCGCGGUAAGACAGAGGGUGCAAACGUUGUUCGGAAUCACUGGGCAUAAAGCGCACGUAGGCCGUCCACUAAGUCGAAUGUGAAAUACCCCGGCUCAACCGGGGAACUGCAUCCGAUACUGGUGGACUCGAGGAUGGUUGGGGUGAGUGGAACUCCAGGUGGAGCGGUGAAAUGCGUAGAUAUCUGGAGGAACACCGGUGGCGAAAGCGGCUCACUGGACCAUCUCUGACGCUG
rnacentral:rRNA from 1 species